rnacentral:rRNA from 1 species
GAUCCUGGCUCAGAACGAACGCUGGCGGCAGGCCUAACACAUGCAAGUCGAGCGCGCCCUUCGGGGUGAGCGGCGGACGGGUUAGUAACGCGUGGGAACGUACCCUUUGGUAGGGAAUAGCCACUGGAAACGGUGAGUAAUACCCUAUGAGCCCUUCGGGGGAAAGAUUUAUCGCCAAAGGAUCGGCCCGCGUUAGAUUAGGUAGUUGGUGGGGUAAUGGCCUACCAAGCCUACGAUCUAUAGCUGGUUUUAGAGGAUGAUCAGCAACACUGGGACUGAGACACGGCCCAGACUCCUACGGGAGGCAGCAGUGGGGAAUCUUGGACAAUGGGGGCAACCCUGAAUCCAGCCAUGCCGCGUGAGUGAAGAAGGCCUUAGGGUCGUAAAGCUCUUUCGCCUGUGAAGAUAAUGACGGUAGCAGGUAAAGAAACCCCGGCUAACUCCGUGCCAGCCGCAGC